CGUCACAGCUGCACGCUAUUAACGUACAACCUUUCUUCCCAAUUGAAAGUGCUUUACAACCCUAAGGCCUUCUUCACACACGCGGCAUGGCUGCGUCAGGGUUUCCCCCAUUGCGCAAUAUUCC
rnacentral:rRNA from 1 species